rnacentral:rRNA from 1 species
UACGGGGGAUGCAAGCGUUAUCCGGAUUUAUUGGGUUUAAAGGGUGCGUAGGCUGUGAGGUAAGUCAGCGGUGAAAUGCCCCCGCUCAACGGGGUGAAGUGCCAUUGAUACUGCCUUGCUGGAAUGCGGAUGCCGUGGGAGGAAUGUGUGGUGUAGCGGUGAAAUGCUUAGAUAUCAGGAGGAAUACCGUUAGCGAAGGCGGCAAUCUGGCUGGAAACUGACGCUGAGGUGCGAAAGCGUGGGUAGCAAACAGG